AGUGUCGUACGGCGCUCGGAGGUACGUGUUCCCGGCUCCCCUCGAAACCAAGGAGGGGAAUGAGUCUAAGGCAUUCGAUGUCUGAAAGUCGUAGGGAGUCGCCCGGCGCCAACCACCUGCCUCCCACAGGACACAGAUGGUGAAAGCUGGUGCAGACCACAUGCAUUCGAUGACCUGACUAAAAGAAAAGAAAAGAAGAAGAAAAAAGGAAGGAAAAUAGAUAGAAAAAAGAAGGAAAAAAGGAAGGAAAAAACGAUAGAAAAACAAAAACAAAAAAGGGAAGGAAAAAAGAUAGAAAAGCAAAAACAAAAAAAAGAAGGAAAAGAAAGAUAAAAAUCAAGAACAGUAUAUGCUCGUCUUUUAGUGAUUUAUAAACCUAACUUCACUCUUUAAAAAACAGCAAAAAAACAGGUGGUGUUUGUGAUUGUGGUUGUGCAUGGAGAAGUUGGUGGAAUGAUCGACUUAUACGGUGCAGCUGGUUGAGCACGUGCAGCUGGUGACGCUGACGUUGGGUCGGUGGCUGGAUCGUUGGACAGGAAGAGAGAAGAGAAGAGAGAGAGAGAGAGGAGAAGAGAAGAGAGAGAGAGAGAG